UUAAAUUGUUUGAACUGUAUUGAUUCAUCUGGGCUAGGGUUUGACUUUUUUAAAGGGUUUCCACAUCUUCUCUGAUCUUUAUGCUGAAGCUGACAGGGUGGCAGUGACUUUCUGGAAGAUAAAUUGUUGUUCAUUGCUAAUUGUUAUAAGCUGUCAGUAAUUCUCAGUUUCCAGCUAUGUUGUGAAAGGAAGUGGUUUCAUUUCUCUGUAUUUAUAGUUUCAUAAACCAGUUACUUAUAAAAUGAAAACAAGAUUGUUUCCACUGUGAGCAAAAUCAUGGGGUUUAUAUGACAAAAUUUUUUUUCACUCUUAUUUUUUCUCAGAAGUAUUUGUCUCACGACCUGAAUUCGAGGCCAUCUGAGUGUUGCUUAAACUCUGCUGUCUUUCUGGUUUUGUUUUGGGUUUUUUUUGCAUUAGGCUUUGGGGGUUUUUUUUUCAGUCUUUCAGUGUUUCAUAUUCCAGUAGACUUCAGGAAAUCAUAGCAUAAAGCCAGAAACAGGUGUUGAUUCUGAGACUGGAAGGUUGUAAGUAACUAGUGUGGAAGCAGUGAGUUAGCUUUUGUACUGAGUUGGGAGGAGACAGCAGUAUGUUUUUAGGAAAGACCAUCAUGCAUCAUAUAAUCAUCUCCUUGGCUUUGCUUCCCUACCUAAUUUACCCUUCUUAUUUACUACCAUCCUGUUAACCUACCUCAUUUUGUGUUUUUCAGUAGCAGGUGUCCCUCUUUCCUGAUCUGUCACAGACACCAUUCCUGCCCUUCAACUUAGGCAGUAUAGAAAUACCAUUCUUAAACCACCCCUUCUUGCUGCUACUUUGAAUUGAAGAAUUUACCUACUUGGAAUAAAAGCAGCAUAAUUGUAAAGCUGCUGUGUUUCAUCCUUCAAGUGAUAUAAAGGCCCUGGGGGUCCAGGGGAACAGCAAGUUGAACCAGAGCCAGGAAUGUGCCCUCUCAGCAAAGGCCACUAAGGGUGACCUGGGUUGUGUGGGGAGUGUGGCUGAGGGAGCUGCAUCUCCUUUUUGGUGAGGGGCACCUGGGGUGCUGUGUCCAGUUUGGGGCUCCCCAGCACAAGGGAGAUGUGGAGCUGCUGGAUGGAGUCCAGCAAAGUGCCACUGAAAUGAUGAAGGGACUGGAGUGUCUCUCCUGUGAGGAAAGGGGAGAUCUGAGAGAUCUGGGGCUGUUCAGCCCAGAAAAAGAGAAGGUUCAGACAGAAUAUCAUGAAUGUAUAAAUACCUGAAGGGAGAGUGCAGAGAAGGCAGAGAUAAAGCUGUUCAGUUGUACACAGUGAUGGGACAAGAGACAGUGGGUACAAACUGAAACAGGGUUUUGCCUGAACAUCACUAAACACUUUUUUUUUACUGUGAAAGUGGUAGGACUCUGGGCACAGAUUGCCCAGAGAGGUGAGGGACUCUCCAUCCUUGGAGACACUCAAAAGCUGUCUGAAUGUGGUCCUGGGCAUUCUGCUCUUGGCUAAACCUGCUUGAGAAUUUGGAGUUGGACCAGAUGACUUCCAGAGGUGUCUUCCAGUUUCAACCAUUCUGUGUCUAACCAGGUUACGUGAUAAAUAAUUGCUUUGGUGCAUCAGUUUCCGGAAGAUAGUGCUGAGUAAAAGACCUGCCUUCUGUUUUAAGAUGUUAGUUGGCUCUUAAUUUGAUUUCUUUGCUUACCUUCUUCCCUGAUGGCAGGGAACAACUGGAUGUGGCACUCAGUGCUCUGGUCCUGUUGGCAAGGUGGUGAUCAGUAUAAGGCUGGACUCGAUGAUCUCGGAGGUCUUUUCCAACCAAAAUGAUUCUGUGAUUCAAAUAAUAAAAUGCAGUGCUGUUUGCAAGUGAUGUUUUAAUUUGCUUGUUCCUCCUUGCAGCCAGCAGCAGAAACUUUCUUUAAAAAAAUAAAAAAAAAAAAAAUUGGGAAGGAGUAUUUGGAUUUAUCUACAGAUGAUGCUUUUCUCCCUGUUCGUCCACAGUGGAAUUCUAGAUUCUUAAGCAUCUUUUUUUUUCUUCCACGUUGAAAGAAACACAAAGACACAAAUGAGUUCAGUUAACUUCAAGUAAGGGAGGACUUGGUCUUAAAAUGUGCUACUGAUUAAAAGUGCAGGUUAUGACACAUCACAGAUCUAUGGAACAGCCUCCUCUACUCUGAUGCUGUAAAUCCAGAAUAAGGUCAGGCCCACAUGACAAACUUUUCCUGCAGAUUUGUAUCAACAGGGCAAUAAUCCCACUGUGCCUCAGACCCAUCAUCACCACUGCACCAGCAAAACCUUUUUGGGUAGGACUGGUUUGCUAAAAAAGGCACUUCUGCUUUGUGAAGGUGGUCAGGCUGUGGCAGCAGGGGAGUUUCUGCUGGGUAGUGCCAGAGGAGUGGCUGUAGGAGAGCUGGAGGUUGGCACAGGCAAGGUCUGCACUGCUGGUGGGAUGUCUGUGGGUGCCAGAGGGUCCCA